rnacentral:rRNA from 1 species
CCUACGGGCGGCAGCAGUGAGGAAUAUUGGUCAAUGGGCGCGCGCCUGAACCAGCCAAGUAGCGUGAAGGAUGACUGCCCUACGGGUUGUAAACUUCUUUUAUAAAGGAAUAAAGUGAGGCACGUGUGCCUUUUUGUAUGUACUUUAUGAAUAAGGAUCGGCUAACUCCGUGCCAGCAGCCGCGGUAAUACGGAGGAUCCGAGCUUUAUCCGGAUUUAUUGGGUUUAAAGGGAGCGUAGAUGGGUUGUUAAGUCAGUUGUGAAAGUUUGCGGCUCAACCGUAAAAUUGCAAUUGAUACUGGCAGUCUUGAGUACAGAUGAGGCAGGCGGAAUUCGUGGUGUAGCGGUGAAAUGCUUAGCUAUCACGAAAAAAUACGAUUGCGAAGGAAGCAUACAAAACUGACACGGACAU